UGAGGCGUGAUGACGAGGCACCACGGUGCUGAAGCAACAAAUGCCCUGCUUCCAGGAAAAGCCUCUAAGCAUCAGGUAACAUCAAAUCGUACCCCAAACCGACACAGGUGGUCAGGUAGAGAAUACCAAGGCGCUUGAGAGAACUCGGGUGAAGGAACUAGGCAAAAUGGUGCCGUAACUUCGGGAGAAGGCACGCUGACACGUAGGUGAAGUGAUUUACUCAUGGAGCUGAAGUCAGUCGAAGAUACCAGCUGGCUGCAACUGUUUAUUAAAAACACAGCACUGUGCAAACACGAAAGUGGACGUAUACGGUGUGACGCCUGCCCGGUGCCGGAAGGUUAAUUGAUGGGGUCAGCGCAAGCGAAGCUCCUGAUCGAAGCCCCGGUAAACGGCGGCCGUAACUAUAACGGUCCUAAGGUAGCGAAAUUCCUUGUCGGGUAAGUUCCGACCUGCACGAAUGGCGUAAUGAUGGCCAGGCUGUCUCCACCCGAGACUCAGUGAAAUUGAACUCGCUGUGAAGAUGCAGUGUACCCGCGGCAAGACGGAAAGACCCCGUGAACCUUUACUAUAGCUUGACACUGAACAUUGAGCCUUGAUGUGUAGGAUAGGUGGGAGGCUUUGAAGCGUGGACGCCAGUCUGCGUGGAGCCGACCUUGAAAUACCACCCUUUAAUGUUUGAUGUUCUAACGUGGACCCGUAAUCCGGGUUGCGGACAGUGUCUGGUGGGUAGUUUGACUGGGGCGGUCUCCUCCUAAAGAGUAACGGAGGAGCACGAAGGUUGGCUAAUCCUGGUCGGACAUCAGGAGGUUAGUGCAAUGGCAUAAGCCAGCUUGACUGCGAGCGUGACGGCGCGAGCAGGUGCGAAAGCAGGUCAUAGUGAUCCGGUGGUUCUGAAUGGAAGGGCCAUCGCUCAACGGAUAAAAGGUACUCCGGGGAUAACAGGCUGAUACCGCCCAAGAGUUCAUAUCGACGGCGGUGUUUGGCACCUCGAUGUCGGCUCAUCACAUCCUGGGGCUGAAGUAGGUCCCAAGGGUAUGGCUGUUCGCCAUUUAAAGUGGUACGCGAGCUGGGUUUAGAACGUCGUGAGACAGUUCGGUCCCUAUCUGCCGUGGGCGCUGGAAGACUGAGGGGGGCUGCUCCUAGUACGAGAGGACCGGAGUGGACGCAUCACUGGUGUUCGGGUUGUCAUGCCAAUGGCACUGCCCGGUAGCUAAAUGCGGAAAAGAUAAGUGCUGAAAGCAUCUAAGCACGAAACUUGCCC
rnacentral:rRNA from 1 species